AUUGAACGCUGGCGGCAGGCCUAACACAUGCAAGUCGAGCGGAUGAAGGGAGCUUGCUCCUGGAUUCAGCGGCGGACGGGGGAGUAAUGCCUAGGAAUCUGCCUGGUAGUGGGGGAUAACGUCUGGAAACGGGCGCUAAUACCGCAUACGUCCUGAGGGAGAAAGUGGGGGAUCUUCGGACCUCACGCUAUGAGAUGAGCCUAGGUCGGAUUAGCUAGUUGGUGGGGUAAAGGCCUACCAAGCCGACGAUCCGUAACUGGUCUGAGAGGAUGAUCGGUCACACUGGAACUGAGACGCCGUCCAGACUCCUACGGGAGGCAGCAGUGGGGAAUAGUGGACAGUGGUCGAAAGCCUGGUCCAGCCAUGCCGCGUGUGUGAAGAAGGUCUUCGGAUUGUGAAGAACUUUUAGUUGGGAGGAAGGGCAGUAAGUUAAUACCUUGCUGUUUUGACGGUACCAACAGAAUAAGCACCGGCUAACUUCGUG
rnacentral:rRNA from 1 species